rnacentral:rRNA from 1 species
UACGGAGGGCGCGAGCGUUACCCGGAUUUACUGGGCGUAAAGGGCGUGUAGGCGGCCUGGGGCGUCCCAUGUGAAAGGCCACGGCUCAACCGUGGAGGAGCGUGGGAUACGCUCAGGCUAGACGGUGGGAGCGGGUGGUGGAAUUCCCGGAGUAGCCGUGAAAUGCGCAGAUACCGGGUGGAACGCCGAUGGCGAAGGCAGCCACCUGGCUCACUGGUGACGAUUGGGCGCGAAACGGUGGGGAGCAAACCGG